GCACGUCAGUGUGUUUUACCUCACUUUUGAUAUCGAGUUCCAGGCUCGGCAGACCACGGCCAGACAACAGGGAAGGCAACGAGGACUGUCUAAGAGGUAUUGAAGAACAUCUUUAACGACGGCAUGAAGUAGCACGACAUUGCCUGUCAUCUGUGAGGCCAGCCUGUAAUAUUUUUUGCCAGCAAAUGGCCUGAUUUCCUGAAUGGUGAAGUUGUAAAAUAUUAAAAUUUCUAAACUAG